GGUUAGUGCCGUGAAUAAGGCAGUAAGCCUGCAUGCAGGCCGAUGAGCCGUCAUUGACCCAGUGUGACUCUGCCGAUAUAGAUUGGGCGCACUAACC
rnacentral:sRNA from 18 species